GGUUGUUGCUGGAGAACUUGAGUUAAACCACGAGUGCAAUUUAAUGAACUGGUCACCUGAGGGCUUUGAAUCUAAGUUGCAGGAAGCAAUGAAACAGACUUACCAGAGAGCACUCAAAGCAGCAACUGAUUUUGGAUAUCAGAAAGAGAGCCCUGAGGCUUUGGCUCACAGAGGUGUCAUCUCGGCUUUUCUGACUGUUGCUCAAGCCAUGACUGAUCAAGGAUGUGUAUAGAAAAAGCUCAAUCAAACCAUGUAGCAGAGGAACCUAAUUACUCUUCAAAAGAUGGCUUCUGCUGAUUGAGAGAUAUUGAUGCAAGCAACAAGCUGUGGAACAUUGCGGAAAUUGUUUAAAUGGUUGGAGAUCACUGUUUUUGUUAGAGGCCAGGUAAUGGUAUAAUGUUAUAAUGGAAGUUAUAGGAAAUUUCUCUGUAACAUACAUGCAGCAUAUUAGCUCUGCGUGGAAAAGGGUAGC